rnacentral:rRNA from 1 species
GAUGAACGCUGGCGGCGUGCCUAAUACAUGCAAGUCGAGCGAACAGACGAGGAGCUUGCUCCUCUGACGUUAGCGGCGGACGGGUGAGUAACACGUGGAUAACCUACCUAUAAGACUGGGAUAACUUCGGGAAACCGGAGCUAAUACCGGAUAAUAUAUUGAACCGCAUGGUUCAAUAGUGAAAGACGGUUUUGCUGUCACUUAUAGAUGGAUCCGCGCCGCAUUAGCUAGUUGGUAAGGUAACGGCUUACCAAGGCAACGAUGCGUAGCCGACCGGAGAGGGUGAUUGGCCACACCGGAUCUGAGAAGCGGUCCAGACUCCAACGGGAGGAAGCAGUAGGGAAUCUUCCGCAAUGGGCGAAAGCCUGACGGAGCAACGCCGCGUGAGUGAUGAAGGUCGUCGGAUCGUAAAACUCUGUUAUUAGGGAAGAACACAUGUGUAAGUAACUAUGCACGUCUUGACGGUACCUAAUCAGAAAGCCACGGCUAACUACGUG